CCAGAACACCCUAUUUUAAUAAGAUCUGUGAAUUGUUCCAGCAGUGAGCUGCAUUAAAACCAAAAACGAAUUUACCUAAUUCAGUGGAGACCUGAGGAACCUCAAGAGUUAACCAACCCUGUGAAUGCGUUUUGUAACUCACGUUUUUAUACUUCAACACCGAAGUUAGGCAAGUCUGAACCUUGUGUAGGCCUAGCAGAGCUUUGUAAACAAAGAGGGAGUAAUGAAGUGACCUACAGGACAUUGAGGACCAGCCAACCUUUUGCAUACUAAAACUGUCCCCUGUGAUAAAUGUGAUGCCAUCAUACACUAUUGCGCAAAUCUUAAUGGUGCAACUACAACACUGAAUAAUGUGUUGGGUCCAUUACAUCUGAGUCACUGCCUAGGGAGACCUGAAAAUAUCUGGUUUGGGAUUUAAAUCCUUUUCAGGUCUUGCCAUAAACCUAGGGUUCUGUCUAUCUGGUCUAAAAUAGGUGAGACUGUCAAUAAUUAAUCAGCCAAUUCAACUUUGCUGAAGGUCUGCAAUAUAUCUCUAGUCAAACAAAAAGACCCAUCCAGUUAUUGCUGACAUUUGUUAAAAUUAUACAAUGUUACAAAGUUCAAGUGGAGCAACAAAUAGAAUGGGUUGCAUAUUAAACAACUUUAAUCAGAGCAACUUAACGACCGCAAAACAAAGAGGCACAUUGUCUCCUUGUCAAGCUGGGGCAACAGACGUAGUAAUGCGGUCUGGAUGAAGGAGGGGUCGCAGGCAGAAGACAUUCUCAAAAGAAAAAUCAAGAAAAAGUGCCCCCCUUUGCGUUUCUCUAUCCACUCCCCUCGUUCUCCAACUGCGCAGCCCUAGCGCCUGCCUUUGUCCCCAUCACAACAAUCAUCGAACAGAUGGUGCUAUGCUUGGGCGAGAAUGACAGGCACCAGCCAGCAGCCAAUCGCGUAGUCAGGAAUCAGCUGACUCGUCUGGACAGCGCCAGGUGCUGUUUUCAUAUUUUCCUUGAAGGAGCAGUAGGCUACGGGCUAAGAGUAGAAUAUCGGCAGGCAACUAGUCAAUGUGGCUUCAGUUGGCGUUUGGAUGUCUCUGCAAUCUGCACUAUGCUCUGCUCGAAGACUCACCGUGCAGUCCUGAGGUUUUGAUGAAAGAAACACUCUGAACAGUGGGAGGCUCACUGUAACUCAGGGACUGUUUCACUGGAACCCCCUGCACAUCUUUUCCCACCAGGACCAUUUUACAGGGAUACAACUACAAGUCAGCAAAACCUCUGGUUAAUGACAAUAACACAGCUCCUGCCAAGGUCAUCAACCUUUUCUGGUGUCCAACCCUCUGUGGGUUUGGACC
ensembl:lncRNA